CUACGGGAGGCAGCAGUCGGGAAUUUUGGGCAAUGGGCGAAAGCCUGACCCAGCAACGCCGCGUGAAGGAUGAAGUAUUUCGGUAUGUAAACUUCGAGAGAAUGGGAAGAAUAAAUGACGGUACCAUUUAUAAGCUCCGGCUAACUACGUGCCAGCAGCCGCGGUAAUACGUAGGGAGCAAGCGUUGUUCGGAUUUACUGGGCGUAAAGGGCGCGUAGGCGGCGUGUUAAGUCAGCUGUGGAAUCUCUGAGCUCAACUCAGAACGGCCAGCUGAUACUGAUGUGCUAGAGUGCAGAAGGGGCAACCGGAAUUCUUGGUGUAGCGGUGAAAUGCGUAGAUAUCAAGAGGAACACCUGAGGCGAAGGCGGGUUGCUGGGCUGACACUGACGCUGAGGCGCGAAAGCCAGGGGAGCAAACGGGAUUAGAAACCCGGGUAGUCC
rnacentral:rRNA from 1 species